rnacentral:rRNA from 1 species
CCUACGGGAGGCUGCAGUGAGGAAUAUUGGUCAAUGGGCGCGAGCCUGAACCAGCCAAGUCGCGUGAGGGAAGACGGUCCUAUGGAUUGUAAACCUCUUUUGUCGGGGAGCAAAAGACGCCACGCGUGGCGUUCCGAGAGUACCCGAAGAAAAAGCAUCGGCUAACUACGUGCCAGCAGCCGCGGUAAUACGGAGGAUGCGAGCGUUAUCCGGAUUUAUUGGGGUUAAAGGGUGCGCAGGCGGAAGAUCAAGGCAGCGGUAAAAUUGAGAGGCUCAACCUCUUCGAGCCGUUGAAACUGGUUUUCGUGAGUGAGUGAGAAGUAUGCGGAAUGCGUGGUGUAGCGGUGAAAUGCAUAGAUAUCACGCAGAACUCCGAUUGCGAAGGCAGCAUACCGGCGCUCAACUGACGCUCAUGCACGAAAGUGUGGGUAUCGAACAGGAUUAGAUACCCCAGUAGUC